rnacentral:rRNA from 1 species
UACGUAGGGUGCAAGCGUUAAUCGGAAUUACUGGGCGUAAAGCGUGCGCAGGCGGUUAUGCAAGACAGAUGUGAAAUGCCCGGGCUUAACCUGGGAACUGCAUUUGUGACUGCAUGGCUAGAGUUUGGCAGAGGGGGGUAGAAUUCCACGUGUAGCAGUGAAAUGCGUAGAUAUGUGGAGGAACACCGAUGGCGAAGGCAGCCCCCUGGGUCAAGACUGACGCUCAUGCACGAAAGCGUGGGGAGCAAACAGG